UAGACAAAUACACUUUGUCAAAUACUAAAAAAAAUAAGUUUCCUCCAUCUGGUAGUGUUAAUAUAACACAAGCACUUGCUGUUUUUUUGAACAAUGAGAGGCCUGAAAAUGUCUACUACAAAAUAUGAUUUGACUCAUGCAUACCAAUUUGUGACAAUAUGUGUUUGUGUCCAGAUUUUGUCGAAUUAUAACGUAUAGCAAAUCGCGAGAAAUCGUUGCAAUAUACGAGCACCUUUUCUCAAAUAGUGCAUGCUUACAUUUGAGCAACACGCAAUUUACUAUAAGUUACUAUCUUUUAACAAAUUGGGAUAAUGUUGCAGCCAUUAUUAUUUAUCAUACACGCUUGAAAAAGUGAACCAGCCAGUUUGUGCAAGUGUCACAAAAUGAUCGCAAAUUAUUUUGUUCUUUUUUGUUACUUAACUGUAUAAUACUAAUUAAACAAUUUAAUCUAAAUCAUGAAUUUGCGUUAUUUCGCAAUUUUGUUCGAGGUGCGUCAAACUUUUUUUAAGACUUUGUGAUAACUUUUUGCAACCAAGUGUGUCAAUUUUUUAGAGAGUGUUUGCCGUCUUAGCGGCCUGCCUGCAAAAAGCUGUAACAAAAAAUGUAACGGGUUCGGUGUUUGUGGUGGUCCGUGAUGCUUUUGUGUACUUUGUGCGUUGUUAAUCCACGAAAUGUGUGGCUAUCUCGUUGUUCCGUCCUCUGUUCCGGCGAACCACGAUACGGCGAGACGACCAUCGACAGGAGCAAGCAGCAGCUAGAAAAUGAAUCGAAAUCCAUCGCUGCUGCCUAUUUUGAAGAAGUUUUUGAUCAUCUCCCCGAAGAAGAUCCAAACGGAACGGUCGAUUCGGGAACAAUUUCUGGCUUCGGAAACCAACCAGAACUAAAUCUUCAGCCCUGAGUAGAGAAGUGAGCGCCACGAAAAAAUCAGCACCGAGGAGAUGUUGCUGAAUCACUUUGAUGUCUGCCAUCGGUUCUCGGACUCGGAAGCGAACCGGUCGAGCCCGGUGCCGAUUGUUCGAAUAGCAACGAUUGGACCAUGACGACGACACGGGAAAGGAUGUGCCAAUAACCCAGGCUGCGUGAAAGAUUCAUGUAAUCUUGCCUACCCAAAGAAAGGAAGUUUCCGGGACAAAAUUAUUGAAUAUUUUUAAUUCAUAACGGAUAUUGAAUAUGUACUUGUUGCGUCUGAUAAUCAAUAAUAUUUUUCAAGUGGAUUGAUUAUUUUUUCCCUCAAGAAACAAUAAAACAGGUAAUUACACAAAAAAAAAUCAUUUUAGUUUUUACAAGCUCAGGUUGACUAUAGUUUCCAACCCGAUGGUUCACUUGUUUUAAUUCAAAUGAUACUUUUUCGUACGUAAUUACUUGUUUUAUUGUUUCUUAUUGAAUUCAUUGAUCAUUUCUUCACUCUAGGUAGAAACAUAAAAGAGCAAUACAAUAUAGGGUAAAAAUACCAUAACGCACAAUAAACCAACACUACUGCA